UUCGAGUGGCGGACGGGUGAGUAACGCGUGGGUAACCUGCCUUACACAGGGGGAUAACACCUGGAAACAGGUGCUAAUACCGCAUAAGCGCACAGGGCCGCAUGGCCCGGUGUGAAAAACUCCGGUGGUGUAAGAUGGACCCGCGUCUGAUUAGCUUGUUGGCGGGGUAGAGGCCCACCAAGGCGACGAUCAGUAGCCGGCCUGAGAGGGUGGGCGGCCACAUUGGGACUGAGACACGGCCCAAACUCCUACGGAAGGCAGCAG
rnacentral:rRNA from 1 species